ACGAACGCUGGCGGCAUGCCUAACCCAUGCAAGUCGAACGAGACCUUCGGGUCUAGUGGCGCACGGGUGCGUAACGCGUGGGAACCUGCCCUUAGGUUCGGAAUAACUCCCCGAAAGGGGUGCUAAUACCGGAUAAUGUCUUCGGACCAAAGAUUUAUCGCCUUUGGAUGGGCCCGCGUUGGAUUAGCUAGUUGGUAGGGUAAAAGCCUACCAAGGCGACGAUCCAUAGCUGGUCUGAGAGGAUGAUCAGCCACACUGGGACUGAGACACGGCCCAGACUCCUACGAGAGGCAGCAGUGGGGAAUAUUGGACAAUGGGCGAAAGCCUGAUCCAGCAAUGCCGCGUGAGUGAUGAAGGCCUUAGGGUUGUAAAGCUCUUUUACCCGGGAUGAUAAUGACAGUACCGGGAGAAUAAGCUCCGGCUAACUCCGU
rnacentral:rRNA from 1 species